CCCUCCAGACCAAAACUAUUAUUUGAACUAGGCUGUUACUCUGUGUUAUUUUUUCUGUUACAACGCCUUUUGUGGUUCGAUGUGUGUUUAUGGUAUUUAUGCUGCGUUUAAGUUACCUCGGAAGUCAGAUGUCGGAGCUGAAAAUGAUGUCACACUUGAGUUACCAGCGUUUCAGUUACCAAGUGGGAAACGGCAGUGAGCCUGCCUAUCAGUCAAGUCAGCCUGGACUCUGAUUUGCCAAUCUUGUCACCUUGACCACUUAGAAACUGAAUUUCCCAGUUUGGAAUCAAUAAAGUCUAUCUAUCUAUCUAUCUAUCUAUCUAUCUAUCUAUCUAUCUAUCUAUCUAUCUAUCUAUCUAUCUAGGCUGUUACUCUGUGUUAUUUUUUAAAGCCUCAAGUGGGCAUUCUGCGAACUGCAGUUUUUAGCACCUAUGCAUCAGCUUCAUUUCUCAAAACUGGAGGUUGCCGCUUGGGUUAUACAACUUAAUAUACAAAGGUUAAAAAGCUGUCCCACUUACUUGGCACAUGCAUAUUGCAAAUUCACACUCCCCAUUUGCCUGUGAGGUAAUUAUAUCAGUUUUCCCCCCUUUUUGGGCACAUGAAUUCAAAUAAAAUAGAGCUUUCUAACCCUCUACCUCAGGACUCUGUUAAUGUGUAGAAGGGAGGCCAAAAGAAGAAGAAAAAAGCCAUGUUUUCAAAG